rnacentral:lncRNA from 1 species
UAAUGUCAAAUUUCUUGAUUUAUUUUUAAUAAGUAAAAAAUCACUCAGUGGUACUGUACAAAAUCAAAUCAUUAAUUUUUGCACCUGGUAUUUCAAUCACCAGCAGUGAUCUCAUGGUACAGAAAUAAAACAGACAAUGAAAAAAAAACUGUCAUUAAAUUCAUGCUGGCUUUCCAGUUUAGCAGAACUAAAUAGAAGAAAUAAACGGCAAUACUGUUACCCAUAGGAAAAAAAAAAAGCAAUGACAAAAUGGUUUCACAUUUAAUCAUAAAAUGAACUUAAUCUUUGUUGAUUCUGUUUAAAUCUGCUAAAGCACUGAUCU